AUUGAACGCUGGCGGCAUGCCUUACACAUGCAAGUCGAACGGCAGCACGGGUGCUUGCACCUGGUGGCGAGUGGCGAACGGGUGAGUAAUACAUCGGAACAUGUCCUGUAGGGGGGGAUAGCCCGGCGAAAGCCGGAUUAAUACCGCAUACGAUCUACGGAUGAAAGCGGGGGACCUUCGGGCCUCGCGCGAUAGGGUUGGCCGAUGGCUGAUUAGCUAGUUGGUGGGGUAAAGGCCUACCAAGGCGACGAUCAGUACGUGGUCUGAGAGGAGGACCAGCCACACUGGGACUGAGACACGGCCCAGACUCCUACGGGAGGCAGCAGUGGGGAAUUUUGGACAAUGGGCGAAAGCCUGAUCCAGCAAUGCCGCGUGUGUGAAGAAGGCCUUCGGGUUGUAAAGCACUUUUGUCCGGAAAGAAAUCCUUGGCCCUAAUACGGUCGGGGGAUGACGGUACCGGAAGAAUAAGCACCGGCUAACUACGUG
rnacentral:rRNA from 1 species